AGACCCGAAACCCGGUGAUCUAGCCAUGGGCAGGUUGAAGGUUGGGUAACACUAACUGGAGGACCGAACCGACUAAUGUUGAAAAAUUAGCGGAUGACUUGUGGCUGGGGGUGAAAGGCCAAUCAAACCGGGAGAUAGCUGGUUCUCCCCGAAAGCUAUUUAGGUAGCGCCUCGUGAAUUCAUCUCCGGGGGUAGAGCACUGUUUCGGCAAGGGGGUCAUCCCGACUUACCAACCCGAUGCAAACUGCGAAUACCGGAGAAUGUUAUCACGGGAGACACACGGCGGGUGCUAACGUCCGUCGUGAAGAGGGAAACAACCCAGACCGCCAGCUAAGGUCCCAAAGUCAUGGUUAAGUGGGAAACGAUGUGGGAAGGCCCAGACAGCCAGGAUGUUGGCUUAGAAGCAGCCAUCAUUUAAAGAAAGCGUAAUAGCUCACUGGUCGAGUCGGCCUGCGCGGAAGAUGUAACGGGGCUAAACCAUGCACCGAAGCUGCGGCAGCGACACUGUGUGUUGUUGGGUAGGGGAGCGUUCUGUAAGCCUGUGAAGGUGUACUGUAAGGUAUGCUGGAGGUAUCAGAAGUGCGAAUGCUGACAUAA
rnacentral:rRNA from 1 species